AGUGAACGCUGGCGGUAUGCCUAACACAUGCAAGUCGAACGGCAGCACAGUAAGAGCUUGCUCGUACGGGUGGCGAGUGGCGGACGGGUGAGGAAUACAUCGGAAUCGACGUUUUCGUGGGGGAUAACGUAGGGAAACUUACGCUAAUACCGCAUACGACCUACGGGUGAAAGCAGGUGAUCUUCGGACCUUGCGCGAUUGAAUGAGCCGAUGUCGGAUUAGCUAGGUGGCGGGGUAAAGGCCUACCAAGGCGACGAUCAGUAGCUGGUCUGAGAGGAUGACCAGCCACACUGGAACUGAGACACGGUCCAGACUCCUACGGGAGGCAGCAGUGGGGAAUAUUGGACAAUGGGCGCAAGCCUGAUCCAGCCAUGCCGCGUGUGUGAAGAAGGCCUUCGGGUUGUAAAGCACUUUUGUUGGGAAAGAAAACCAGCAGGUUAAUACCCCGCUGUUCUGACGGUACCCAAAGAAUAAGCACCGGCUAACUUCGUG
rnacentral:rRNA from 1 species